GAUGAACGCUAGCGACAGGCUUAACACAUGCAAGUCGAGGGCAGCGGUGCUGAGAGCUUGCUCUCAGCAGCCGGCGACCGGCGCACGGGUGAGUAACACGUAUGCAACCUGGCUGUCACAGGUGGAUAACCGGAAGAAAUUCCGACUAAUACAGCAUAAUACCCUGAGGGGACAUCCCCUCGGGGUCAAAGGAGGCGACUCCGGUGACAGAUGGGCAUGCGGCGCAUUAGGUAGUUGGUGAGGUAACGGCCCACCAAGCCGACGAUGCGUAGGGUUCUGAGAGGAAGGUCCCCACAUUGGAACUGAGACACGGUCCAAACUCCUACGGGAGGCAGCAGUGAGGAUAUUGGUCAAUGGCCGAAGGCUGAACCAGCCAAGUCGCGUGAGGGAAUAAGGCCCUAUGGGUCGUAAACCUCUUUUGCCGGGAGCAAAGCCG
rnacentral:rRNA from 1 species